GACGAACGCUGGCGGCGUGCUUAACACAUGCAAGUCGAACGGUGAAGGGACUGGUUUUGCUGGUCCUGGAUGAGUGGCGAACGGGUGAGUAACACGUGAGUAACCUGCCCCCUUCUUCUGGAUAACCGCAUGAAAGUGUGGCUAAUACGGGAUAUUCUGGGUCUGUCGCAUGGUGGGCCUGGGAAAGAUUGCGCCUUUUUUGGUGUUUUUGGUGGGGGAUGGGCUCGCGGCCUAUCAGCUUGUUGGUGGGGUGAUGGCCUACCAAGGCGGUGACGGGUAGCCGGCCUGAGAGGGUGGACGGUCACACUGGGACUGAGACACGGCCCAGACUCCUACGGGAGGCAGCAGUGGGGAAUAUUGCACAAUGGGCGCAAGACUGAUGCAGCGACGCCGCGUGAGGGAUGGAGGCCUUCGGGUUGUGAACCUCUUUCGCCAGUGAAGCAGGCCUGCCUCUUUUUGUGGGUGGGUUGACGGUAGCUGGAGAAGAAGCGCCGGCUAACUACGUG
rnacentral:rRNA from 1 species